rnacentral:rRNA from 1 species
GUGGGGAAUAUUGGACAAUGGGGGGAACCCUGAUCCAGCCAUGCCGCGUGUGUGAAGAAGGCCUUUUGGUUGUAAAGCACUUUAAGCGAGGAGGAGGCUACCGAGAUUAAUACUCUUGGAUAGUGGACGUUACUCGCAGAAUAAGCACCGGCUAACUCUGUGCCAGCAGCCGCGGUAAUACAGAGGGUGCAAGCGUUAAUCGGAUUUACUGGGCGUAACGCGCGCGUAGGUGGCCAAUUAAGUCAAAUGUGAAAUCCCCGAGCUUAACUUGGGAAUUGCAUUCGAUACUGGUUGGCUAGAGUAUGGGAGAGGAUGGUAGAAUUCCAGGUGUAGCGGUGAAAUGCGUAGAGAUCUGGAGGAAUACCGAUGGCGAAGGCAGCCAUCUGGCCUAAUACUGACACUGAGGUGCGAAAGCAUGGGGAGCAAACAGGAUUAGAUACCCUUGUAGUCC